UGGGGCGUCGCCAAGCGGUAAGGCAACGGGUUUUGAUCCCGUCAUUCGCAGGUUCGAAUCCUGCCGCCCCAGCCA
rnacentral:tRNA from 1 species